rnacentral:rRNA from 1 species
AUUGAACGCUGGCGGCAUGCUUUACACAUGCAAGUCGAACGGUAACAGGUCUUCGGAUGCUGACGAGUGGCGAACGGGUGAGUAAUGCAUCGGAACGUGCCCAGUCGUGGGGGAUAACGCAGCGAAAGCUGUGCUAAUACCGCAUACGAUCUAUGGAUGAAAGCGGGGGACCGUAAGGCCUCGCGCGAUUGGAGCGGCCGAUGUCAGAUUAGCUAGUUGGUGGGGUAAGGCCCACCAAGGCGACGAUCUGUAGCUGGUCUGAGAGGACGACCAGCCACACUGGGACUGAGACACGGCCCAGACUCCUACGGGAGGCAGCAGUGGGAAUUUUGGACAAUGGGCGCAAGCCUGAUCCAGCAAUGCCGCGUGCAGGAAGAAGGCCUCGGUUGUAACUGCUUUGUACGGUAACGAAAGGAC